rnacentral:rRNA from 1 species
AGUGAACGCUGGCGGUAGGCCUAACACAUGCAAGUCGAACGGCAGCACAGGAGAGCUUGCUCUCUGGGUGGCGAGUGGCGGACGGGUGAGGAAUACAUCGGAAUCUACCUUUUCGUGGGGGAUAACGUAGGGAAACUUACGCUAAUACCGCAUACGACCUACGGGUGAAAGUGGGGGACCGCAAGGCCUCACGCGAUUAGAUGAGCCGAUGUCCGAUUAGCUAGUUGGCGGGGUAAUGGCCCACCAAGGCGACGAUCGGUAGCUGGUCUGAGGGUAUGACCAGCCACACGAGAACUGAGACACGUACCAGAGUCCGACGGGAGGCAGCAGGGGGGAAUAUUGGACGAUGGACGCAAGCCUGAUCCAGCCAUACCGCGUGGGUGAAGAAGGCCUUCGGGUUGUAAAGCCCUUUCGGCUGGGAAGAAAUCGCACAGGCUAAUACUCUGUGUGGAUGACGGUACCAGCAUAAGAAGCACCGGCUAACUACGUGCCAGCCGCCGCAGUAAUAC